AAAUCCAUAUUUUGACGGAACCUUCUUUGCCAAAAAUGAAGAGGUUGCAGAGUUUUUGCAAACUAUUAGAGACAAAAUCAAAACUUCACCAGGCCGACCCAUUUGUGGAAACUCACACUUUAAAGCUGGUAGUGAGUCUAACAAGAAGUCUUAAUCCAAACUUGAUGAAGAGGGUGUGAUGAUUUCAGUCUGUAGACACUGCAUUAUUUUGAAUGGACUACAGAUGUACCGUGGAGAAGUGUUUGCAUACCC